UUUUUAGCUAAUUAUAUUUUAAGAUUAUUUUUUAUUGUUGAAAAAAUUAAAAAUAAAUUGUUAAAAACAAAAAUUAAAAUUUAUAAUAUUUCUGUUUUUUAUUUUUAGUUAAAAAUAAAAAUAAUAAAUAUGAAAAAUAGAAAAAUUUUGUUAUAAAUUAAAUUAGUUUUUUUAAAUUAAAAAUAUUUUUUAUAAAUUUAUUUUUUUUUAUUUUUUUAGAAAAAAAAAAAUUUAAUUAUUAUUAUUAUUGAAAUUAAUUUAAUUAUUUAGUAAAAAAUUUUAUAUUAAAUAAAUUAAAUAAUAAAUGUUUUUUAAAUUCUUUGGGGAUUUAGUUUUUGAUUUUUUAUUUCUGCUCAUUGUUAAAGAAAAGCACUUUUAGCGUGAUUGGUCAAAGGUA
rnacentral:rRNA from 1 species